GUCCACGCAGUAAACGAUGAGUGCUAGUUGUCGGGGCCUUAGGCUUCGGUGGCGAAGUUAACACGAUAAGCACUCCGCCUGGGGACUACGGUCGCAAGACUAAAACUCAAAGGAAUUGACGGGGACCCGCACAAGCAGUGGAGCAUGUGGUUUAAUUCGAUGCUACGCGAAAAACCUUACCACCUCUUGAAUCCCAUUGACCGGUACAGAGAUGUACUUUUGGAGCAAUCCACAGUGGAGACAGGUGUUGCAUGGCUGUCGU
rnacentral:rRNA from 1 species